GUGAGUCAUCGAAUCUUUGAACGCACCUUGCACCCUCUGGUAUUCCGGAGGGUAUGCCUGUCUGAGUGUCAUGUAGACUCAACCUUCCGGGUUCUACCCGGCUGGUUGGAUUUGGGCGCUUGCCUAUUGCUGGCUCGCCUUAAAUGCCUUAGCGACGUGAUGGGUUUCUGCCUGGCGUAAUACGUUUCGUCAGUCAAGACCUAGAAGUGUUGCUCCUAAUCGCCUUGCGGCACCUUUUAUGACUUCGGCCUCAGAUCAGGUAGGACUACCCGCUGAACUUAAGCAUAUCAAUAAGCGGAGGA
rnacentral:misc_RNA from 1 species